UACGCAGGCGGCUAGGAAAGAAGGAUGUGAAAUCCCAGGGCUUAACCUUGGAACUGCAUUCUUAACUGCCUAGCUAGAGUAUGUCAGAGGGGGGUAGGAAUUCCACGUGUAGCAGUGAAAUGCGUAGAUAUGUGGAGGAAUACCGAUGGCGAAGGCAGCCCCCUCGGGAUAAUACUGACGCUCAGGUACGAAAGCGUGGGGAGCAAACA
rnacentral:rRNA from 1 species